CCUCCCACACUUGAAAAAGGUGUAGAGAAAAAGCCACUUCUUUGCUCCCUAGAGAUUUAGGUGCUAGGGCUGCAAAAUAAGCUUUAGCCUUUUUUUUUUUGGAGUGUAGAUUUACCUUUUUUUCUUUUGAGUAUGUGGGGUUUUUAAAAAUCAGGUUAACUAGUUAUCAGCCAUAAAAUAACAUUGUUGGUUUAGGGGGCAGAGUCCUGCCUGAUAAGUGAAGGAAAAUUGUGCUAUCUCCUCUUGGGGGAUGGAAGACUUGGCUUGAGUCGGGAUGUCACCGAGAAAGGUUUGGGAAGGUGUUGUCAUUUACUGCAGAUUCUAAGAGGCGAGUUGAGUGUAACUUUUUGGUCCUGGGAGAUGUCAAGAAAAUAAGCUCAUCAGAGAAGAUAUUCAUCCGGUUCCCCGACCUUCAGACCCGAGUGGACUCCGGCUUCUCCACGUUGAGACCUCACCGCCGUCGUAUUGACAGGAUGAGGCCUUGUUUUCUCUGGCCCAGACAACUGAAAGCGGAUCCCGCCCUGAGGAGAAAGAUCCCCGAAAUGAAAUUGAGCGCGUGUGAGGUGAGAAUCGACGUUCCCUUGACCCCGUAGGAGAGGAAUCGGCACAAGCGCCCCACGAACCAACACCUGAAACGGGAACUGGAGAAGAGGAGUAAAAUAGCAUUUCUUGAGCACGUCCUGAAUGCGGUCCACUCUACUAAGCACCCGCUCGUGUCCGAUUCCUCCGUGGUCCACUGGCUCGUUUCUCCGUGGCUUCGGGUAUGUCCGCCA
rnacentral:lncRNA from 1 species